GUACAGCCUCUCUCUCUCUCUCUCUCUCUCUCUCUCUCUCUCUCUCUCUCUCUCUCUCUCCGUAUUUUGCCUGUCUGUCCUCGUGUGUGUGUGUGUGUGUGUGUGUGUGUGUAUCUCAUUUAUUUAUUUAAGUUAUUUUUCUUCUUCACGCAGAUAGUAAUUUAUGAACACAACACACCACGUGGAGAGAAGCAAGGUGUGGAGUACCCAAGCCUCUCACAGUCCAUGCUAGUAGACUCACCCUGCAUGUGGAGAUCUCCCAAAAUGCACGGAGGUUAUUCCAGAGCUGAAGGACAGAGUACUUGAGGCCAUUGGUGAACAGAAAGCUGAGGUUGAACAAAGGUAGAGUAAAGAUUACACUGACAUUUGGGACAUUGACGUUGUUUGUUACCAGUAUUAUAUUGAUUCCUUUUAUUUCAGCCAAGAAUUGAUAGCUGCCCAAGGUGUAAGCAAGAUUCACAAUGAUGAGGUCAUUGUGACGUGUGCAAUGUGUCCACUGGUCUUGGCCUUCCUGACCAAGGCAGCCACACAAAGGAAAUUCCACGUUAUUGUUGCCGAACGUGCCCCUAAAUAUGAUGUAAGGUGUUUUAUGCGUCUCUUUCACGUCAUCGUGUCUGAUGUGCACAAUACAUAACACAGGGACUGCCACAUGUAGGGGUGAUGGCUUCUUGCAGCUUCCUUUAUUUUAUUACGUUCUUAUGUUCUCAAUACAUCUUUUACUUGUGCAGGGUCACCCAGUGGCAAAAGCUUUAUGUACUGCUGGAAUUGAGACAACAUUAAUUCAAGACUCUGCAGUGUUCCCCAUCAUGUCACGUGUCAACAAGGUCAUCAAAGGUCAUCGUUGGCACCGAGACGGUGGUGACCAACGGAGGCAUUGAGACCUUUGUUGGUGCAGCCUCUCUUGCCUCACCACCAAAGUUUUAUUCUGUUCCUCUGUAUGUGUGCACUCCCACAUACAAAUUUAGCUUGAUGGGCUGUGAAGAAAUAAGCCACCAAACCACCACUUCUAUUAUCCCAGAGGGAACAAAGUUUUGGCCGUCUGUAAAUACUGCGCUGACUCAGCUAGAUUACGUUCCUCCAGAAAAUGUCACCAGUUUGAUAACUAACAAUCGAGGUACUGCACCAUCCUACGUGUACCGGCAGCUUAGCGAACUGUACCGUCCCACUUCUUGUGAUCUCUAAGGUAACAGCUUUAAUCCUUGCAAAUAAGGAAUAAGAGAAAAGAGACACACCUGCCAUUUGUACUGUUAUGCUGUAGUGUUCUGUCAUUUUUUUCCUCUUUUAUCCUAGAACCAUUUUUGGUCAUUCAUGUUUAUAAAAAUUAUUAUACAAAAAUGUUGAGCUUAAUAUGUUUGGUGUAGUUUUUUGUAACAUGUGUUAUUGUUAAUGUGUGUGGUUCCCCUCAGGAAGAAUGUUGCAGUAUUAGCAGUAAUGUUACAGCCAAUGGAAGUGUCUGUAUUGUGCUUUGGUGGGAGGUUAAUUUGAUGUAUUUUUAGAGUUGUGCAGGAUAUAGCAAGCCCUCAAAAUAAAGAAAAUAACUAUAGAAAACA